GUGAGUAGGGAUUGCACACAUCAAUUGUAUUUAAUGUCAGAACUAGCUGGAUAUGUUUUCACGUUUUUCUUUUUUUAUACUUACAUUUUUGUCAUGGUGUCAACAGUAUAAUUUUAUAGGAAAACGUUUAUUAACAUUGUACAGUUAAGUAGGAUAAGUGGCAAAUUGUCACAGUAGGAAAGCAUUGGUAUGGGAAUGAGAAUUCCUGAGGACAGGUAGCAGAUCUGUUGCUAAUGAGCAAGGUCAUGUCCUUUCAUUUCCAAAACUAACAGUCUGCAAAAGCGAAGAAUAAGAAAUGCCAACUCGGCCAGGCAUUGGUGGCGCACACCUUUAAUCCCAGCACUCGGGAGGCAGAGGCAGGAGUUCGAGGCCAGCCUGGUCUCCAAAGCUAGUGCCAGGAUGGGCUCCAAAGCCACACAGAGAAACUCUAUCUCGAAAAACCAAAAAAAAAAAAAAAAAAAAAAGAAAAAAAAGAAAAGAAAAGAAAAGAAAAAAGAAAAAAAAAAGAAAUGACAACACUGGGGCUGGAAUGAUGGCUCAGAGGUUGAGGUUAAGAGCACUGGCUGCUCUUCCAGAGAACCUGAGUUCAAUUCCCAGCACCCACAUGGUUGCUCACAACCAUCUGGUGUGCAAGGAUACAUGCAGGCAGAACACUGUAAACAUAAUAAAUAAAUACAUUUUUUUAAAAAAAAGAAAUCCCAGCAACCAUACAGGAAUAUGAUCAAAUGUGAUGCUGACAUACAGGCCAUGUUAACAUUCUUCUUGACACUGGCUUCUCCGUUAACAGUGAUUUAGAUGAAAAUCUAUGUAAAUGACCAAUGUGAGACAAAUCCUCAGGUAAAUAUUCCAAAUAGAUAAUCUAUUCUCACUCAGCCACAGAUAAACAACUCAACUAAAACUAGACAAUGAGCUUGAACAGGAUCUUCUUUGGAAUAGUCUACAGAUUACAAAUAGUCAAUAGAUAGACGAGAAGAAGAUGCCAAACACCCUCAAUCACCUAGGAGAGGACAUCAAAACUACAAGGAGAUGCUUCCUCUCACCUGUCAGGGAGCUGUUAUCAAGAAGACAAAUGGUAACAAAUAUGCGAAAAGCUGUGGGGGACAGGAGCCCUGUCCACUGUUGACAAGGAUGUACAGUGAUUAUGACAGAUGAGAAGAACCUCAAUGGGGGGCCUCCAAACUAUUGAAACAGAUGCUAUCUCCAUCUCUCAAGUGAUACAGCAAUUAUAAAGGCACACCCUCACUAGGUCUGUGUCUUACUUUGUGUGAGAAAACACUGUGGCUAAAAACACAGAAGGAGGAAGAGGCUUUCUUUCAGCUUUCAGUCCCACAGCACGGUUGUGGUGGCUUGAAUGAAAAUGGCUCCUAUAUCCCCAUGAAGAGUGGAACAAUUAGGAGGGGUGCCCUGUCGGAGUGGUUGCAGUGUUGUUGGAGGAAGCAUGUCAUUGAGGGCGGGCUCUGAGGUCUCAGAAGCUCAAGCCAAGCCUAGAGGUUCACUGUCUGUUCCUGCUGCCUGCAGAUGCAGACAUAGGACUCUCAGCUACCUCUCCAGCACCAUGUCUGCCACCAUAACAAUAAUGGAUUAACCCUCUAACCUGUAAGCCAGCCCCAAUUAAAUGUUUUCCUCAGCCAAGGCAGUGGUGGUGCACGCCUUUAAUCCCAGCACUCAGGAACCAGAGGCAGGUGGAUCUCUGAGUUCAAGGGCAGCCUGGUCUACACAAUGUGUUCCAGGACAGCCAAGGCUACACACCCUGUCUCAAAAAGUCGGAAAAAAAAAAAAACUUUUCCUUUAUAAGAGUUGCCUUGGCUCAUCACUGGAGCAAGUCAAGCAGGGCAGGAACCUGGAGGCAGGAGCUGAUGCAGAGCCACACAGGAACACUGCUUACUGGGUUUCCCCCCAUGCCUUUUCAGCCUGCUUUCUUUCAGCAUCCAGCACCACCAGCCCAGGGGUGGCACUGUCCGGUUAGCUGGGCCCCUCCUACAUCAAUCACCAAUUAAGAAAAUGUACAGAAGGUACUCUGUAGGCUACUAAAAGAAACAUGGACACCAACCCAGUCACAAAACCUUUGACCUACAAUCUGUCCCACCUGAAAAAUAGGGCAAUGGUGCCACAGAACUUGUGGGAGUGGCCAAGCAGCAUCUGAUUUGAUUAAAAGCCCACUCCACAAAAAGGAAUGCAUACCCAACACUGCUUGGGUAACAAGAACCAGAGACUAGAUAGUUCAGAGACCUAGGGGAAAAACAAAACACUACUGGCAAGGGAGAAAAGGAGGGAGGGAAGCAGAGAGGGGAGAGAGAGAGAGAGAGAGAGAGAGAGAGAGAGAGAAGCUUCCUCUGGCAGAAGAUGGGAAGAGAUGCAGAGACCCAUAGUAGAGAAAGAGGCUAAAUUGGAGGUCUCCAUCAAAUCCCUCCCCUCAGAGCUCACAGGGUCCCUUGGAAGGAGAGGCUGGAGGACACCUGGAGAACAAGGCCCUCUGAAUCAGCUAAGCAAAGUACAUAUGAGCUCACAGAGACUGAGGCAGCAGUCACAGGGCCGACAGGGGUCUGCACCAGGUCCUCUGCAUCUGUACCACAGCUGUCAGCUUACUGUUUUUAUGGGACUCCUAACUGUGAGAACGAGUGAUGUCUGACUCCUGUGCCUGCUCUGGGGACUCUUCCUCCUACUGGGCUGCCAUGUCGGACUGCAGUAUCUCAUGUUUUACUUCAUUGUAUUAUUUUGCUUUGCCAUGUUUGGUUGCUAAUCUCUUAGAAGCCUGUUCUUUUCUACCGAGAGACAGAAGGCGAGUGGAUCCAGAGGAAAGAGGAAGUGGGGAGGAAGUCGGAGGAGAAGAGGUAGGGCCAACUGCAAUCAAGGGAUGUUGUAUGAGAAAAGAAUAUAUUUUCAAUAAAAAUAUAGAAAAAGACAAUGUUCUAUACAGACUUGGCCACAUGCCAGUCUCAAGGAGGCAUUUUCUCAGUUGAGUCCCCCUUCCCAAAUGGCUCUAGCUUGUGUCAAGGUGACAUAAAACUAGCCAGCACAGUUUGGCACGUUUGUCUUUGCCGAUAUAUCAUGGCCACCAUCAUAUGCUAGCCUUCCGUAGUAGACUAGAACAUAGGAUCCAUGGAAAUAGACCAAAAUGGAGAAAAAUCCAACAAUUGGGGCUCAUCUCUUUCUUCCAUUUGUUGCACGUGUACACACACACACACACACACACACACACACACACACACUUCUGCCAACUUACCUCAAGAAAACUGGAUCAUUCACAGCUGGGCAGACUGAACAUCUUUCUCCGGGUCAGUUUUCUUCAUUUUCCUAGGAAGAAAGAAUAGAGGGGUUGAAAAGCUGGUUGGGCUCUGGGAUGUGCCCACAGGACACUGUUAUUUUACCUUGGAAGAAGAAAAGGGGAUCAAAUAAAAGCAUCCAAGCCUCACUUUGGGGGAGAGCCGAACAAGAGGGAAGUGAUGGUAGAAAGAAAAGCAUGGGCUCAAGGAAGCCCUCACAGCCCUCGACUGUUCUACAAAUCACAACUACAACAUCACAGUGGCACUGAGACGGGGGGAUGGCUUUGCCAGUUGCAUGCUUAGAGCCACCUCAUCAACAGUGUUAAGGACAAAAUCCUAGAGCCCUCGGGUGUGGAAAGAGAGAAAACUCAGACAGAAAAACAGCAAUGACAAAUACCAAGGAGGAGAUGAGGAACUCAAGACCCCUGCAAAGGUAAGAUUGUGUGGUAAGAUAGCGCGGACAGCCAGAUGUGCCAAGUGUUGAAAAGAGAAGAAGGAAAAGAUGGCUGAGAUAUGCCCAAGAGUUUUGUCAAUAUGUGGCCACCGGUACCACCUGUAAUUCUGUGUUUGCCUCUGAAGCACAUUCCUGAAAGGAAACACGGGUGAAGAGACAUAUUAGCAAAACUAAGACAGAGAAAUCUCUUGCUGGGUAGAAGAGUUGAAUCUGAAAAGUGUGAGCCAUGAAGACAACUAAACAAUGUCCAGAUCACUGCAACAGGAUGGAGAGAUGUGGAGGACACUAGCCUCAAACUUGGCGCAGAGACAAGACAGAGCCAGCCUUGGAAUUCAAUUCUGUAAGCUGGGCCUGCUGUUGAGGAGGGCAGAUGGCAAGAGGAGGACUGGCCAAGGAGGACAAAUGCUGUCACAAUGGGCCAUGAAGUCUUCACCAAGUAGAGAGAGCGUGAAAGAGAACAUGGCCAAUUCUAGGAAAUGAGUCAAGGGCAUCCAAACAGCAUCGGAGAAUUGGAGAUCACUGGGAUCCUGCCAGUGGAGUGUGGCUCACGGACAAGACUCCAGUCCUCAGGCCCCUUCUUUUCUUACUCCUGUAUCCUCUCUUCCCAGAUUUCUCCUCCUAUAUAUUCUCUCUGCCUUCCAGCCCGUUCUCUCUCCUGCUUAGCUAUUGGCCAUUCAGCUCUUUAUUAGACCAAUCAGAUGUUUUAGACAGGUAAAGUAAAUGCAACCUCACGGAGUUAAGCCUCACGGAGUUAAGCAAAUGCAACCUUAACAAAUAUAACCCAUCUUUGCAUCAUUAAACAAUACUCCACAGAACAAGCAAAUGUAACACAUCUUCAGCUAAUAUUCCACACAAGGUAGGUGCCAGGUAAUGACACAUGUCUUUAAAUCCUCUUUAUUCUGUCAGCACCACAUACAAUGACAUACUUUACUAAGUUCUCAUUCAAACAUACACAUGCAUGUAAUGAUAAGUGUUUCUGCCAAGCUGCUCAGGCCCUGCUUCCAUAUGGGCGCUUUCCGCCAGGCCGCUCAAGUUCUACCCGACACCACGUUAAGGUCCCAAAUAACACAGAGAGACUUCUAUUAGGUACAAAUGCUGUUUGGCCAAUGACUAGGAUUUCUCACCUGCUAGCUCAGUCUUAAUUAUCAUAAAUAUAUAUUUUAUAAGACUUAUACAGGACGCCUUCCGGUGGUUCCCUCUCUUGCCGGCAGAUCACAUGGCAACUCCAGAGCAGAGACCAGGAGGAAGAGAGAAGGGGACAACUUCCUUCUUACCCUUGCUUAUAUAUGAGUCUCUCUGUUAUGUCACUUCCUGCCUGGAUCACCACUUUUUUACUACAUUUCCCAGAAUCCUCCUUGACUCCUAGUCCCACCUAACUUGCUGCCUCAUUGGCCAAAUAGUACUUUAUAUAUCAUCCAAUAAGACAAUCAUAUACACAGAAGGACCUCCCCCAUCACAUGCACACACACAGAGUGAGCAGAAAUAAAAUCAUCCCUGUCCAUAGCAGGUCAGGAAUCGGUCUCCUCUUUCUUCUCCAUGCAUCACAAGGGCAGAGGAUGAAAGCUUGGGACAUUCAUCAAUGAGCACACUGGUUCUCCUUCAUAACAUGGCAGAAGACAUCACACAGUGUCAUGUGGUGACAGGGUGGCUUCUGUUCUCUAAUCUAUCAUAACUUUUCCCACUGUGAUUGUCCUGUUCCCUCAAUUACCUUAAUCUAUCAGAAGGGCAGACUUGUGGUGACCUUAAACACUUCCUAAAGGCUCUGUCUCCAGUCUCACCACAGUAACAAAUUUCAGAGGGCUCCUCUGUGUCAGUCUCUCAGUACGUGGGGGCCACAAUGAUAACAAGGGAGAGGACAUCUAAUGAACAUCGAGGACUAAAUAUAAGGGAGAUUGGGAAUAGGAUGUAGAACUCAGAGGGGAAGGACCUGAAGAAAUUCUGCAGCAAACAUCCAUAGCUGAGAGCAGACGACUGGAGAGCAACAUCAGCCAGAAACGACUGCACAGACCUUCCGACCAGCUCUGUGUGUGUGCCUGAGGCCCAGGGCUGGUGAGGUGCCAGGCCAGGAGCACUAGGCAGCUCGCAUGGAGGCAGUUAGACACACCAAUGGACUUAGAAAAACUGUUGGAGUUGACAUUGUGGGCACAGACCAGAUUGACAGGAAAAGAAUAUCACCAGAACCUUCGUGCUCCACCUUGUCCUGUGUCUCAGCUGUGACUUCCAUACAUGGGGAAUGGCGAGGCAGCACCAAAACAUUAAAAGGCUGCUGAGUACACAGGCCCAGAAUGGCUCUCAGCAAACAUCCAAAGCAGAGCAGCCUGUGGGGUUCCCGCUACCUGAAAGCAUCAGGGGCAGUUCUCAAGUUAAAUUGGUUCCCUUUUCUUUCAAUGUCAACCAUCUAAAGACAAGUUUUGAGAAUUUCACAGAACCGAUCCCUGCUCACAGUUCAGCAAGUAAAGCACAUGGUUCCUGCCUGGUCUGUGAUUGAUUGUUGACAGUUCUCCCCACGCUAGCAGCCACCGCUGUGGUGAGCUCAUGGCACCGGCUGUGCCAUGCCCACAAGAGAACAAACCACAGCUCUCCUCCCUCUCUCAGCUCCUAUGCUUUUCCUGAGCCUUCCAUAAAUGUUCAUUAGGGCUGAACAUGCCACCAUGCCUGCUUGAGGAAACUCGUUCAUAUUGCCAGACAGAAGCCUUGGAGAAGCCUGUGAGCCGCCACCCAGAGGGAGCCCCCUGCCCUCCAGGAGGGGCUGUUGACAGUUCAGUCACUGGAUCCACCAUCUUUGAUAAUAAUAAUCAUCUAAGACAAACAACUGAUGAUUGUGUCCCCCAAACCAAGACUGUUCAUCCCUGAACUAGGAGGUGUCAGCUGCCCAAAGAGGAGGCCAGGUUGGCACUGCUCUGCCACAGGAAAAGCCUUAAUGUUUCAAAACAAAAACACUCUGAUAAACUUCAAAGAGAGUAAUGUGGCUAGCCAGUUUGAUGAUUUUUUAUUUUAAUUCAGUAAAAUUUAAAAACUAACUUCCCUGAAUGCUGCUCAUUACAAUACCUUCUGACAUGAUAAAAAACAAACAAACAAACAAAAAAAAAACAUGGAAAAAUGAAUGCAACAGUGUAAGACCUGAAGCAACAUCAUUUUUUUUUUCAAAAUGAAUAAGCUUCAGAGGAACCUUAAGCUUUCAUCUUCAAAAGGGACCAAAAACUGGACUGGAGAGAUGGUUGGACCCUUGAGAGAGCUCAAUGCUCUUUGAGGAGACCUGGUUCAAUUCUCAGCAUCCACAUGGGGCUCACAACCACUUCCAACUCCAGUUCCAGGGGAUCUGAUGCCUCUUCUGGCCUCUGAGGACACUGCACGCACGUGGUACACAGACAUGAAGAUAAAA
rnacentral:lncRNA from 1 species